GUCAGAGUUUGGCCGUUUGUCGGGAUGCAGCACAUCGCGAACUUUGUGGUCAUCCUCUCGGUGGUGGUGAGGCGGCUCACAGGCCACACUCCUACAUCCUAAGAAAGCGGCCAAACGGCUGGUCGUGGAGCGCCUGCACGGCGGACCAGCCGACGGUGUUAAGGACUUAAGGGCCGUUGUCCCGGCGAGGAGCUGCUUCGACAAAGCAGUAGGGCCUCGACGACGGGGCGACCGGCGAUGCCGUAGCAACGCCGUAGCUUGGCUCCUGGCUACAGAAAAGCUAGCCUGGGGGAGAGCUGGCCACCCUAGGUAGACAUGUUCUACCUAUAUGAAUCCGCUAGCGCCCGCUCGUGCAGCAAGGGACGGGAAGGGAGAAGUGGGCCCUGGCGAUUGGGGGAAGGAAGAAGAUGAAAGAAAGGAGCGGGCAGAGGACCUGAAACAACUGGUCGGUUGUAAGUGGCCACGGUAUGGCAUUGGAGGUGAAUUGAGCCGACACACUGCCAGUAGAUUUACCAAGUCUGACUUGACAUGUCCAGCCUUCAACAUCUGGAUAUGGGGCUUCACACAGUCGUACGUGUUCGAGAGGUCACAGACAUAUGAAGUUUAUCGGUAAUACUCGAAACCUUUGGAAUUUGUGCACG